GCUGGGUGUGGUGGCUCACACCUGUAAUCCCUGCACUUUGGAGGCUGAGGUGGGUGGAUCACUUGAGGUCAGGAGUUUGAGACCAGCCUGGCCAACAUGGUGAGAUCCUGUCUCUA
ensembl:misc_RNA Metazoa_SRP Metazoan signal recognition particle RNA